rnacentral:rRNA from 1 species
GAUCGGCCACACUGGGACUGAGACACGGCCCACACUCCUACGGGAGGCAGCAGUGAGGAAUUUUGCGCAAUGGGGGAAACCCUGACGCAGCAACGCCGCGUGAGUGAUGAAGCUCUUUGGAGUGUAAAGCUCUGUCAGAAGGGAAUAAGAGGGUGUAUACUAAUACUGUACAUUCUUGACGGUACCUUCAGAGGAAGCCCCGGCUAACUCCGUGCCAGCAGCCGCGGUAAUACGGAGGGGGCAAGCGUUGUUCGGAAUUACUGGGCGUAAAGAGCAUGUAGGUGGUUUGCUAAGUCAGUCGUUUAAUCCCUCGGCUUAACCGAGGUCCUGCGGAUGAUACUGGCAGACUUGAGUACGGGAGAGGAGAGUGGAAUUCCAUGUGUAGCGGUGAAAUGCGCAGAUAUAUGGAGGAACACCCGUGGCGAAGGCGGCUCUCUGGACCGCUACUGACACUGAGAUGCGAAGGCGUGGGGAGCAAACGGGAUUAGAUACCCCGGUAGUCCACGCGGUAAACGAUGGGUACUUGGUGUAGAGGGCAUCGACCCCCUCUGUGCCGGAGCUAACGCAUUAAGUACCCCGCCUGGGGAGUACGACCGCAAGGUUGAAACUCAAAGGAAUUGACGGGGGCCCGCACAAGCGGUGGAGCAUGUGGUUUAAUUCGACGCAACGCGAAGAACCUUACCAGGGUUUGACAUGUAUGUGACAGCCGGUGAAAGUCGGUCUUCCUUCGGGACACAUACACAGGUGCUGCAUGGCUGUCGUCAGCUCGUGUCGUGAGAUGUUGGGUUAAGUCCCGCAACGAGCGCAACCCCUACCCUUAGUUGCCAUCAGGUUAUGCUGGGAACUCUAAGGGAACUGCCGGUGAUAAACCGGAGGAAGGUGGGGAUGACGUCAAGUCCUCAUGGCCCUUAUGUCCUGGGCUACACACGUGCUACAAUGGCUGGUACAAAGGGUCGCGAUACCGCGAGGUGGAGCCAAUCCCACAAAGCCAGUCUCAGUUCGGAUUGGAGUCUGCAAUUCGACUCCAUGAAGGUGGAAUCGCUAGUAAUCGUGGAUCAGCAUGCCAUGGUGAAUACGUUCCCGGGCCUUGUACACACCGCCCGUCACACCACGAAAGUUGAUUGUACUAGAAGUCGCUGAGCCAACCGUUUACGGAGGCAGGUGCCCAAGGUAUGAUUAAUGAUUGGGGUGAAGUCGUAACAAGGUA